AUUCAAUUAGUAUAUAUAAAAACAGUAUAUUAAGCUUCCAACUUAAAGGAUUAAAAAUAAAUUGAAUA
rnacentral:tRNA from 1 species